UACGUAGGUGGCGAGCGUUAUCCGGAAUUACUGGGCGUAAAGCGCACGCAGGCGGUCAUGUAAGUCUGACGUGAAAGCUCCUGGCUUAACUGGGAGAGGUCGUUGGAAACUGGAUGGCUUGAGGCAAUGAGAGGGGUGCAGAAUUCCCGGUGUAGUGGUGGAAUGCGUAGAUAUCGGGGGGAAUACCAGUGGCGAAAGCGGCGCCCUAGCAUUGACCUGACGCUGAGGUGCGAAAGCGUGGGGAGCGAACGGG
rnacentral:rRNA from 1 species